UGGCUUUUAAAACACUUCCCAUUGCCAUGAGCAUGGGAAAAACUAAAAACGAAUUAAUUAAUUAAAUAAUUAAUUAUUUUAUUAAUUAAUUCUGGUAUCACUCCUGACUUUUGAAACACUUCCCAUUCCCACGAGCAUGGGAAAAACAAAAAACUAAUUAAUUAAUUAAUUAAUUCUGGUAUCACUACUGGCUUUUGAAACACUUCCCAUUCCCAUGAGCAUGGGAAAACUGAAAACAAAUUAUUUAUUUAAUUAUUUAAUUAAAUAAUUCUGUUAUCACCUCUGGCUUUUAAAACCCUUCCCAUUGUCAUGAGGAUGGGGAAGCUGAGCAUUAAUUAUUUUAUUAAUUAAUUCUAUUAUCACUACUGACUUUUGAAACCCCUCCCACUGCCGUGAGCAUGGCAAAACUGAGCAUUAAUUAUUUAAUGAAUUAAUUCUGGUAUUAUCACUACUGACUUUUUGUGGCCCCAGAUGUGGGAUUUUGGGGUCAGCAAAUGGUUAUUUAUGAUUUUAUGACUUGAUUCUCUGUGAUCCAUGGAAAUGCUCUUGGAGCUCUCCAAAAUAACUCCAGGUCAGGCUGUGGAGGCUCCAAGGGCUUUUUCCAGGGCUUUCUUUGCUGCUCCCUCUUGUCCUGGACUGGAUCCCCUCCUCUCAUCCCCUUUUUAUGGGUUUGGGAAGGAGCUUGGCCAGGAGUGUGCCCUGACUGGGGUGGGAUGGGGGGACCAGGGCACCCCUUGGAUCUCCCAGGGGUGUUUUGGGGUUCCAUCCUCCCUCUUGGGCUGGAUUUGGAUCUCUGAAUCAUGGAAAUGGGGUGGGGAAAGCUCAGAUUUGGGUUCUUUAGGGGGAAAUUCCUUUUUCAGUGCAGCUGGGGCUGCAGCAGAGGCAGAGCUCAGAUCCCAAAGUGCUUCAUGGGAUGGGGCCCCAAAGCUCUCCUGGGGCCAAGCCAGGGGGCUCCAGCCUGGUUCCAAUCCCAAAUAAACCCAGAGGGUUCCAAUCCCAAAUAAACCCAGAGGGUUCCAAUCCCAAUAAACCCCGAGGGUUCCAAUCCCAAAUAAACCCAGGGGGUUCCAAUCCCAAAUAAACCCAGGGGGUUCCAAUCCCACAUAAACCCCAAGGGUUCCAAUCCCAAAUAAACCCAGAGGGUUCCAAUCCCAAAUAAACCCUGAGGGUUCCAAUCCCAAAUAAACCCAGGGGGUUCCAAUCUCAAAUAAAUCCUGAGGGUUCCAAUCCAAAUAAACCCAGAGGGUUCCAAUCCCAAAUAAACCCAGGGGGUUCCAAUCCCAAAUAAACCCAGAGGGUUCCAAUCCCAAAUAAACCCAGGGGGUUCCAAUCCCAAAUAAACCCAGAGGGUUCCAAUCUCAAAUAAAACCAGCCCUGGUUUAUUUGGCAUUCCUGGCUCCCUUUCUGGUUUAUUUGGGAUUUCUGAGUCCAUCCCUGGGAUUUGGGAUUCCCGAGUCCAUCCCUGGUUUAUUUGGGAUUCCUGGCUCCAUCCCUGGUUUAUUCGGAAUUCCUGGCUCCAUUUCUGGUUUAUUUGGAAUUCCUGGCUUUAUUUCUGGUUUAUUUGGGACUCCUGGCUCCAUCCCUGGUUUAUUUGGGAUUUCUGAGUCCAUUUCUGGUUUAUUUGGGAUUCCUGAGUCCAUUUCUGGUUUAUUUGGGAUUCCUGGCUCCAUCCCUGGUUUAUCUGGGAUAAUAAAAUGGAUCCAUCCCUCACUGCCCACUGGCAUUUCCCUGCUCUCCCACUUGCAGGCAGGGAAUUCUCUGUGAAAUAAAAAUCCCUGCAGUGUCCAGCUCUGGGGAAGGUUUGGGAUCUGGUUUAGGAUCUGCUGGGGUUUCAUCCAUCCCCACCAGCUCUGGGGAAGGUUUGGGAUCUGCUUUAGGAUCUGCUUUGGGAUCUGCUGGGGUUUCAUCCAUCCCCACCAGCUCUGGGUCAUUCCCUGGUGCUCAGGGGUGAAGGUGCCCACGCUCAGAGCCCAGCAGGAAAACUCCCCCUGAAUGUGGGGCAGGAUCAGAUCCUCCCUCCCACCCUUUCCCAAACCUGCAGCCCCCCCCGACACAACAAUUCCCAUUUUUCCCGUUGUUAUCCCAGGAUUUAACCCUUGAAUGAACCUUUGUGGGUUUUACUCCCAUCCCCACUCCACAGCAGCCACGAGCUCUGGGAUUUGUGGCCUGGGGGCACGAGGGGCUGGACCAGAGGUGGAUUUGGGCUUUGGAAUUCUGCUGUACCCCCCUGGAUUGGGAAUUGUGGCUUGGGAGGGCUCGGCUGAGCACUGACUGUGAGUGCAGCCUCCCCUCUGCUCCCUGCUGCCCUCAUUUGGGAUUUUCCCCUUUGGUCCUGGUUGUACAAACCCCAUUAAAACGUGGAGACUUUUCCAA